UGGGUACUGGGAUUAAAGAAAGAUUCACGUUCAUAAGCAAAAUGUCGGAGCAGAGGCAGCCAGGAGGAGGCUCUGAUUCCACACUGGGCGGAGCUUAGGCAUAAGGACCUCAAAGGCCACCGCCCCAGUGACGCACUUCCUCCAACAAUCUCCUAAUAGUGCCACUUCCUGUGGGCCAAACAUUCAAACAGAUUUGGAAAGCCAUUGGAGAGACAACCAAGUGCAAUGGGGGAAAAAAGCUCAAAAGGACCCCAAAGGCACUCUACAUGGUGGAAGAAGACAUUCUCAAGUCAAGCUGCGGAGCAGACUGAGGGCAGAGCAGACUGAGGGCAGAGUAGCUGCCUGGAAGAAGCAGAAACCAGCUGAGCUGCCUGAGGCUGUGCAGGAGCUCCAGGUCCCCAGUGUUGUGCGCUGUCACCCAUGCUGGAGUGGAACUUGAUAAUGCACUGCAAUCAAGUCAUUUGUGCUCUUGCACAGAGUGCCCCACCCAUAUUCCUGUAUGCAGGUAUGCAGUACAACGUAAGACCAGUAGCUGACAUCCAGAUGUUCAAGAGGUGGGAGAUAAGUCCUUGUUAGUGUAGACAGCCUGCACCAGAAACAGGACCCAGUGGCCCCUGAGCUGGAUCUGACCUGAAAGCCUCCUCCCUGAGGACUAACUUUCAUGGAACUAGAACGUGCUGUGCAAGCUUCCAGGUAAGGAAGCAACCGAUCGUCCUACCCAGCUAUGAUCCUAUGACUCACCACAACCAACACGACAAGGUAACCCCAAGGGUGCAGUAGUGGCACACAUGCCUUGGUGAUAACCAACAGCUCUCUAAUUGGGUUUGAGGGAAAUUUUAUCUUGGACUAGAAGCCUAACCAACUAUCCUGGGCUAGAGCCCAUAUCCACCACUUAAUUAUUUCAGCACAAUCCCUAACUACAUUCUAAGUAUUUAUCCUUAUGCCUAUAUAUAGUGUAGUCCUCACCACUCGUCAAAGAAACGUCUCUUUGUAACAGAUGAAGACCAUUACAGAAAACCACAUUUGAUCAAAAUGCAGAGAACAAGAGACCACAUGUUGCCCACCUCCACUGAUACAUCUACGACUCCGGCACCAAGGGUUCCUGGAUCAUUGUAAAAGAAGGGGCAGAAAAAUAGGUGAGAGCCACAGGAAAGGAAGUUUGCUGUGAUAUUGUACCCCCUACACAUGCCAGAGAAGCAGCGCUCAUGAAGUCUCAUCGCAUGGCUACCUAACUCAAACAUGAACAAAGACGACAGUAGUGGACAUGCUCCCGUGGAAGGGGAAAACUCAGGAGGCUACAACCUUAGACAAAGAAUUACAGGCAACGAAGUGGAGAAAUAGUCUCCCCUAGAGAAGAGAACUUCCUACUGGUCAUCCAGCACUAAGUGACCAGUUCUGAAAUCACAAGCCACAUAUAUAAAAGUAACACUGUAAGGGCUAAGUGGGUUGUAUUUAUAUAUUAAGGAAUACACAUAUGGAUAUAUAUGAAUAUAUAUAUUUAGGACUAUAUGUAUUUAGGAAUAUAUGUGUAUGUAUAUGUGUUUGUAUGUAUGUGUAAGAACAAUUAAAGAGACCUCUUUAUUAAAUUAUUUUAUUUAUUUACA
rnacentral:sRNA from 1 species